GCCCCGCCCGCUCCGUUCCCAGGGCCGCGGCGGCAGCGCGCCCCGCCCGGGCCGGGCCAGGCGGGAGCGGCGGGGCCGGGCCGGGCCCCGGGCAGGGCAUGGCUGGGCCCCGCGGGGCGGGGGGCUGAGCCCUGGGCUGGAGCCCCUGCCACCUCCCAGCGAGCUCCCCGCGGGCCGGGGCCCGCCGGCGGCAUAAAGGGGCACUUGUGACACGGAUUUGUAAGAGGGGCAAGGCUGGCUCGGAUGCAGGUGCGGACCUGCCAUAGAGAACGGCACUACGCUGGGCAAAGAAGCGAAUUGGCCACCAAGUUUUGAAGAUCAUAUUUAGGCAAAACUUUAUGCUUAAAUUAGGAGUUGAUUUCCCAAUGGUUGGCAAAGGACAGCAUAGCACAUCAAAACUGGGUGAAAUCCAGGCCCCACAGAACUGGAACAGAAACCUGUCCCACCAAUUACAAUAGUAAACCACGAGAGACAAGCACACUACUAAUAAAGAAUACUGAAAGAAGAAUAUCCUUACUGGCUUUCCUUGAUGACUGCUUCCUGAGGAAGAUGAACCCUGAAAAAAGAUACCCAUUUUUGACUCUGUCUAUUUGCACUUAUAUGUUCUCACUGUCUGGAAUAAAGGAACACAAGAGAAUGAACACUGUCUUGUGUCCAGUCCCCUAAAAAUCCCAGGGAAAACCUUGACCGAAAUACAAAUAUUUAACAUCGUUUUGUUACAAGUAUUCUUUCAAAUGAUGUAUUGGAAAUUUUGAUACAGUGUUCUCAAGAAGAAAGAACUGUUUUGUAGUUGUGAUGUGUUUAAUAUAUGGAAUGGAAAAAAUAAUAAGGUCUAAUGAAACAUUAA